rnacentral:rRNA from 1 species
UGCUGGAGGUAUCGGAAGUGCGAAUGCUGACAUGAGUAACGAUAAUGCGGGUGAAAAACCCGCACGCCGAAAGCCCAAGGUUUCCUUGCGCAACGUUAAUCGGCGCAGGGUGAGUCGGCCCCUAAGGCGAGGCAGAAAUGCGUAGUCGAUGGGAAGCAGGUUAAUAUUCCUGCACCUCGCGUAAGUGCGAUGGAGGGACGGAGAAGGUUAGGUGUACCAGGCGUUGGUUGUCCUGGGGAAAGGCGGUAGGUUUGGAUCUUUGGCAAAUCCGGGAUCCUUUAAGACCGAGCACCGAGACGAGCCUUUAAGGCGAAGUCACUGAUACCACGCUUCCAGGAAAAGCUCCUAAGCUUCAGCUUACGCAGACCGUACCGUAAACCGACACAGGUGGGUAGGAUGAGAAUUCUCAGGCGCUUGAGAGAACUCGGGUGAAGGAACUAGGCAACAUGGCACCGUAACUUCGGGAGAAGGUGCACCCUUUUUGGUGGCUCAUGCGAGCUAUAGCUGAAGAGGGUCGCAGUAACCAGGCCGCUGCGACUGUUUAUCAAAAACACAGCACUCUGCAAACACGAAAGUGGACGUAUAGGGUGUGACGCCUGCCCGGUGCUGGAAGGUUAAUUGAUGGGGUCAGCCGCAAGGCGAAGCUCUUGAUCGAAGCCCCAGUAAACGGCGGCCGUAACUAUAACGGUCCUAAGGUAGCGAAAUUCCUUGUCGGGUAAGUUCCGACCUGCACGAAUGGCGUAACGACAGCGGCGCUGUCUCCACCCGAGACUCAGUGAAAUUGAAAUCGCUGUGAAGAUGCAGCGUUCCCGUGGCAAGACGGAAAGACCCCGUGAACCUUUACUAUAGCUUUACACUGAACGUUGAGUUCGUCUGUGUAGGAUAGGUGGGAGGCUAUGAAACUGUGGCGCUAGCUGCAGUGGAGCCAUCCUUGAAAUACCACCCUGUCGUGCUUGACGUUCUAACCUAGGUCCAUUAUCUGGAUCGGGGACCGUGUAUGGUGGGUAGUUUGACUGGGGCGGUCUCCUCCUAAAGAGUAACGGAGGAGCUCGAAGGUACGCUCAGCGCGGUCGGACAUCGCGCACUGUGUGCAAAGGCAUAAGCGUGCUUGACUGCAAGAUCGACGGAUCAAGCAGGUAGGAAACUAGGACUUAGUGAUCCGGUGGUUCUGUAUGGAAGGGCCAUCGCUCAACGGAUAAAAGGUACUCCGGGGAUAACAGGCUGAUACCGCCCAAGAGUUCAUAUCGACGGCGGUGUUUGGCACCUCGAUGUC